CCUACGGGAGGCAGCAGUGGGGAAUCUUGCGCAAUGGGCGAAAGCCUGACGCAGCGACGCCGCGUGAGGGAAGAAGGCCUUCGGGUUGUAAACCUCUUUCAGGAGGGACGAAGCUACUCGGGUUAAUAGCCCAGAGGGUGACGGUACCUCCAGAAGAAGCCCCGGCUAACUACGUGCCAGCAGCCGCGGUAA
rnacentral:rRNA from 1 species